rnacentral:miRNA from 1 species
UGAACCCCUGUAGUCCAAGAGAUC